UUCCAGACUCCUACGGGAGGCAGCAGUGGGGGAUAUUGCACAAUGGGGGAAACCCUGAUGCAGCGACGCCGCGUGAGUGAAGAAGUAUUUCGGUAUGUAAAGCUCUAUCAGCAGGGAAGAAAAAAGACGGUACCUGACUAAGAAGCCCCGGCUAACUACGUGCCAGCAGCCGCGGUAAUACGUAGGGGGCAAGCGUUAUCCGGAUUUACUGGGUGUAAAGGGGGCGCAGACGGCGAUGCAAGCCAGGAGUGAAAGCCCGGGGCCCAACCCCGGGACUGCUCUUGGAACUGCGUGGCUGGAGUGCAGGAGGGGCAGGCGGAAUUCCUGGUGUAGCGGUGAAAUGCGUAGAUAUCAGGAGGAACACCGGUGGCGAAGGCGGCCUGCUGGACUGCAACUGACGUUGAGGCCCGAAAGCGUGGGGAGCAAACAGGAUUAGAUACCCGAGUAC
rnacentral:rRNA from 1 species